rnacentral:lncRNA from 1 species
ACAGACUCAUUGAGAGUAGGAGCAUCUUGAAGAAGCAGAAGUCUACAAACAUUGCUGGACAGAGUACUUACUGUUCAAGACAAAUACUGAUGUGCAGAUAAUCACUGGUAAUCAAUCACUCUUGGU